CAGUCGCCACGGUAAUACGAAGGGGGCUAGCGUUGCUCGGAAUGACUGGGCGUAAAGGGCGCGUAGGCGGUUUGUACAGUUGGAUGUGAAAUUCCUGGGCUUAACCUGGGGGCUGCAUUCAAUACGUGCAGGCUUGAGUGGGGAAGAGGGUCGUGGAAUUCCCAGUGUAGAGGUGAAAUUCGUAGAUAUUGGGAAGAACACCGGUGGCGAAGGCGGCGACCUGGUCCUUUACUGACGCUGAGGCGCGAAAGCGUGGGGAGCAAACAGGAUUAGAUACCCCCGUAGUCCCUGUCUCUUAUAC
rnacentral:rRNA from 1 species